AUUCCGGUAGGGGCGCUACGGGCGGAGCCAUCGGGUCGUAGCCCCCGGUGCUGGGUGAUCGGGACGAUUUGGAUGGGCCUGAUGAUGAUUUUCAGGCGACGUAUAAUUUGAAUAUCAACCGCAUAGUUGAAAAAGCUUUUGCUAUGGGUGGAAGUAAACAUCGUAGAAGGAAGCUAAAAAGGAAAUAGUUUGGUUUAUUUUCUUCAGUUGUUGGUUCGUUUUUGUCUGCUCAAUGUCUUGUUAUUUUAUUUGUUGGUUGUGGACUUGUCCUUAUGUGUGUUUGCCAUAUUGAAUUCUCUUUGAACCGUAUGUGGGCUAAUGGCUGGGAGGUGGCUUUAGUGGUCUA